CAUGGCGCAGAUCUCAGCGAUGCAAUGAAAUCGCCCCAGAGGCAAUCUCCGAACGACUUGGCCACCGAGCAAAUCUCCAGCAACGGAUCAAUUCUCGUGGAGAGCAUGCGGUUCGAUGCUUCGGAGAUUGGCACAUUGAUGGGAUGGCCUGGAGGCAUCCAACUACCCGGUAUCACAUCCAAUUAUCAUUCCAAAGUCAAUGCCAUCGACUCAAUCCCUCUCAACAGUGAUCCUUCCGCCAUCUGGAAGACGGAAAGGAGAGUCGAAGAUGGCGUACCUGUUCACGCGCUCGAUUACGUCUACUCCUCGGAGAGACGGCACUACCCGCGAUCUCUCUCAGACGUGGACGAAGCCUCCGAAACCGAGAGUGCGGACAAUUCAAACAAAUCACCAAACACUGCGGUGACGGAGAAUCAUGACAUCAGC
rnacentral:lncRNA from 1 species